rnacentral:rRNA from 1 species
GGCUCAGGAUGAACGCUAGCGGCAGGCUUAACACAUGCAAGUCGAGGGGUAAGUUCCUACUUGUAGGAAACACGACCGGCGCACGGGUGAGUAACGCGUAUGCAACCUGCCUCUAACUGGGGCAUAGCCCGAAGAAAUUCGGAUUAAUUUCCCAUAUUAUUCAAUGAUCGCAUGAUGAUUGAAUGAAAGCUCCGGCGGUUAGAGAUGGGCAUGCGGGUCAUUAGCUUGUUGGUGAGGUAACGGCUCACCAAUGCUGCGAUGACUAGGGGGCCUGAGAGGGUGAUCCCCCACACUGGUACUGAGACACGGACCAGACUUCUACGGAAGGCAGCAGUGAGGAAUAUUGGGCAAUGGAGGCAACUCUGACCCAGCCAUGCCGCGUGCAGGAUGACGGCCCUAUGGGUUGUAAACUGCUUUUCUGAGAGAAGAAUCCCCCCGAGUUUUCGGGGGUUGCCGGUAUCUCAGGAAUAAGCAUCGGCUAACUCCGUGCCAGCAGCCGCGGUAAUACGGAGGAUGCAAGCGUUAUCCGGAUUCAUUGGGUUUAAAGGGUGCGUAGGCGGGAAAGUAAGUCAGUGGUGAAAGCCUGCAGCUCAACUGUGGAACUGCCAUUGAUACUGCUUUUCUUGAGUUUGGUUGAGGUAGGCGGAAUGUGUAAUGUAGCGGUGAAAUGCUUAGAUAUUACACAGAACACCGAUUGCGAAGGCAGCUUACUAAACCGAUACUGACGCUGAUGCACGAAAGCGUGGGGAGCGAACAGGAUUAGAUACCCUGGUAGUCCACGCUGUAAACUAUGAUCACUCGCUGUUGGCAAUACAUCGUCAGCGGCUGAGCGAAAGCAUUAAGUGAUCCACCUGGGGAGUACGGUCGCAAGAUUGAAACUCAAAGGAAUUGACGGGGGCCCGCACAAGCGAUGGAACAUGUGGUUCAAUUCGAUGAUACGCGAGGAACCUUACCUGGGCUUUACUGUGACUUGCAUUUCCCGGGGACACCGGAAUUUCCUUCGGGG